rnacentral:rRNA from 1 species
AGAGUUUGAUCAUGGCUCAGAGCGAACGUUCGCGGCGGGCUUAACACAUGCAAGUCGAACGCGAAAGGGCUUCGGCCCCAGUAGCGUGGCGUCCGGGUGAGUAACACGUAGGGAAUCUACCCCGAAGCGGGGGAUAACGUUCCGAAAGGAACGCUAAUACCGCAUAAGACCACGAAGCUGCGGCUUUGAGGUAAAAGAUGGCCUCUAUACAUAAGCUAUCUCUUUGGGAUGACCCUGCGCCCCAUCAGCUAGUUGGUAGGGUAAUGGCCUACCAAGGCAUAGACGGGUAGCUGGUCUGAGAGGAUGAUCAGCCACACUGGCACUGAAACACGGGCCAGACUCCUACGGGAGGCAGCAGUGGGGAAUAUUGGUCAAUGGGCGCAAGCCUGAACCAGCCACGCCGCGUGAGUGAUGAAGGCCUUCGGGUUGUAAAGCUCUGUAUUGGAGGGAAGAAAACAACCAGUAAAAUAACGACUGGUUCUUGACGGUACCUCCUUAGAAAGCACCGGCUAACUCUGUGCCAGCAGCCGCGGUAAUUC